GUAAUUCAAAAUUCAUUUCAAUAUUUGUACUUCAAAUUUUCAUAUAUCAAUAAAAUCAUCUUCAUCUUCAAAUAUUUUUCUAUUUUUAUCUCUACUCUACCCUCCUGGGCCCAUUUUGGUAUCAGUAUAUAUAUUCACCCCUCAAGGUAUAAGUUGGGUUGAACCUUGUUUACCACUAAUGGUGUCAGAUCCUAAUUUUGAUUCUUAACCCAAUUUUGUCUAGAUGAGUACUAGCCGGUCGCUUUUCAUUCCUCCAUACUUUGAUGGAAG
rnacentral:lncRNA from 1 species